AACCUUGCCGUGGCUACUAGCUGUUAUGGCUAUAGUCUCCCUCCACUGUCAGUAGCAAUGAAGCCUCUGAAUAUCAGUUGGUGAGGAUCACAGACUGUGCUAGAUGCUGCACAGAACCUAGAACAGAUGUCACCCCUGCCUAGAAGGACUUAAAGGAAGGUGGAAGUUACUUCAGGCAUGAAGAACUGCAGAGAGACAGAAAGGGGUAAACAGAGACUAAGGAGGUUGUUCCCAGACGGAGGCUGUGCGUCAUUUUACCAAUUAACAGCUUGGGACUAGUUUACUUGAGGGAUCGAGCUUGCACUUUCACAAGUGCCAGAUAAUCUGCAUUUCAUACCUAUGAUAAAGCAAUCUCUAAGUGUGUAGCACUGCAGUUUUACAGUUUCAGCACCAGCAAGUCCAUCCCAACACGUAGGAGCGAAAGCCUCUACAACAGAAGAGCAUACAUAGAGAUGGUUCCAUAUUCCCAUCCUACUGAAAGCAGGCCCAUUGAAGUCAAUGGGACUACUCUAAGUAUGUUGGGAAUCUAGAUCUGACCCAUUAUCUGAAAACAAAGUAUUUUUUUUGCUUCAGAAGUAUUCCCCCCCCCAUAUACAAAUGCAUGUGAAUUUAAUUGACUGGCUAACGGAUUAAUCUAAUUAAAUAUAAGAUUAACUGAGAUUUAUUUAAUCAGGUGAGAGAGAAAUGACAACAACAACAACAAUAAUGGAGUUUCUCCUAUGUGGUGCAUUUCAAGAUUUCAAAACACUUCACAAACAUUGGCUCAGGCAAUGAAUUGGGUUUGCUGCUGGCAGCCCUGGAGCCAAAUAUGGCCUCUUGAGAGUGCCAGCUACUCCAUCAGUUGCCAACUUGACUUCUUUUCUUUGCCCAUUGUCAGAAAUAGACUUCUAAGGAAUGAGAAUGAGGUAGGUGC